AUUCACAGGCUCCUUCCACACAGCUGAAUGAAAUCCCAGAUUAUAUUAGAAAAAACAUUUCCUUACUCUUGACGAUGAGGUGGAAGAACUUGUGUUUUGUCUUCCUCUUUUUCCCUGGGAUCUCUUAAAACAAAGUCAACUGAAAUAAGGCAUUAAAAAAGAAACAGAAGAGAACACAAAUAAGCUCAGCAAAACAGAAAAAAAACAGACAAAGAAACUGAACCAAUUAUUUUCAGGAAUGAAGAACUUCGGAAAGGCAGAAAGGAUGAUGCAGAAGGCAAUAUUACCCAGAGGAUACAGAAGCAAGUAUGUUGCGAUCGCAAGGAACACAAUGUUUAUGCCGCGGAGGGCCACCUGUGCUUUAGAGUGUUUCUACAAGAACAAAUCUGGGUGUCUCAAUUUAUACGUCUCUUUUCAUUGUGUGUGGAAUGCACUUUCUGGAAGCGCUUUACGUGCCAUAAAUAUAAAACAUCCCAGGACUUCUGAGAAAACUGAAGGCUGCUGUAAUGCCAAAGCAAAUAGAUGGGAACAUUGUACUGGAGACACAAGAAUUCAGUCAUGCUUUCAAAAAAAGAAGACAGGGCAAAAGAAUGUGUGUUUAUAUGCAGCAGUCCCCCCGUUGCCAUGAAUUUCGACUCACAAAGAUCACAUUAAACUUUUUGCAGUUUUAUGGUAAUGUUAACAACAUAAAAGCCACGUCAAAAUUUACUUACUAUUUGUGUAGAUUGUUAUGCUGAUAAAUCUCCAGUCUUUCUUUAACUCUAAAAUGUAAAGCUUUGUUAGGGGUGUCUCAUUCACUGGACAUUAAUGAAAUACAUAAAAUGGAAGGGACAAUUAAGCAACAUACAGAUGCAUUCGUCUUGUUUUUGCUAAGCAGUGGUAUCUAGCUUUGCUCUAUGGAAACCUCUUGAUAAAUUAUUUCACUUCUGCUUUGCAUUCAUGCUUUAAAGUGUGAUGCAUUUCCAGCACAACCACAUACGCACUCUUCAAGUUAAUGUUUACAUCAGCUAUUUCUAGACUUCAUUGCAUUGAAAAUGACAGAACUACUGAAUGCACAAUGACUAUUGAACUAACCCGGGAUUUCAGUAGAUAACCAUCACUGAACCCUUGUUUUAGAAAUCUCUUGCUGGUCACAGUCUCAUUCUCUUUGUCUCACUACAUUUAUUGAUGUGUUUUAUUUCACAGAUAAAAGGGUAGGUUAACAUUUGCAUUUGUUGUAAGCUGCUUUAAAGACAGUGAAAGCAUAUACAGUAGAGUCUCACUUAUCCAACACUCGCUUAUCCAACGUUCUGGAUUAUCCAACACAUUUUUGUAGUCGAUGUUUUCAAUAAAUCGUGAUAUUUUGGUGUUAAAUUCAUAAAUUCUUUCGCCGCUCAUGAUGGCGGCGAAAGAAGGCAGAGAAGAACGACGCUGGUGACAACGGACGAGGAUCUUAUCCAAGCUUCUAGAUUAUCCAAGCCAUUUUUGUAGUCAAUGUUUCAAUAUAUCAUGAUAUUUUGGUCGUAAAUUCGUAAAUACAGUAAUUACAACAUAACAUUUACUGCGUAUUGAACUACUUUUUCUGUCCAAUUUGUUGUAUAACAUGAUGUUUUGGUGCUUAAUUUGUAAAAUCAUAACCUAAUUUGAUGUUUAAUAGGUUUUUCCUUAAUCCCUCCUUAUUAUCCAAGAUAUUCGCUUAUCCAAGCUUCUGCUGGCCCGUUUAUGUUUGAUGAGUAAGACUCUACUGUAUUAAUAUAACACAAAUAGAGGUAUAAUACCAUAAGUAGUAUUAACAUCUAUAUAUAUAAAAGGGUAAUGAAAUUUCGGCCUAGGACAAAACAAUUAGAAGGAGAGGAAUAAUUGUUUUUAUCCAAUUGCUGCCAGUUAGAAGGCUAAGCUCCGCCCACUUGGUCUCCUAGCAACCCACUCAGCCCAGGGGACAGGCAGAGUUAGGCCUCACUUAUUUUUAUUUAUUUAUUUACAGUAUUUAUAUUCCGCCCUUCUCACCCCGAGGGGGACUUAGGGCGGAUCACAUUACACAUAUAAGGCAAACAUUCAAUGCCUUUAACAUAGAACAAAGACAAGACGAACAUAGGCUCCGAGCUGGCCUCGAACUCAUGACCUCUUGGUCAGAGUGAUUUGUUGUAGCUGGCUGCAGCUGGCUGGCUGCUCACCAGCCUGCUCCACAGCCCGGGCCUCUUCCACACUGCCUAUAAAAUACAGAUUAUCUGAUUUUAACUGGAUUAUAUGGCAGAUCCACACAGCUAUAUAACCCACUGAACUUAAUCUCAGGGGAAAACCUUUACCCUUUACCUUAACUACCACCAAUUCCUCAAUACUUUAUUUCCCAUACCACCAUACUUCGCCACAGCAACGCAUGGCUGGGCACAGCUAGUGUAUUAUAAUAGAAUACAUUUCAUUAGCUAUCUCUUUAUAGCAGUGGUUCCCAACCUUUUCUUCACCAGGGACCACUCUCCAACAUUAGUAACAAAAAGGUUACGA
rnacentral:lncRNA from 11 species